CCCUAUGGGGUGCAGCAGGCGCGAAAAUUCUACAAUGCACGCAAGUGUGAUAGAGGGAUUCAGAGUGCUUCCUGUUAUGCAGGGAGCUUUUCUAUAGUCCAAAUCGCUAUAGGAAUAAGCGAUGGGUAAGACAGGUGCCAGCCGCCGCGGUAAUACCUGCGUCGCGAGUGGUGACCACGUUUAUUGGGCUUAGAGCAUUCGUAGCUGGUUUUGAAAGUUCCUAAUGAAAUCCCAUGGAUGACUAUGGGGCUUGUUAGGGAAACUACAUGACUUGAGACCGGGAGAGGUCUGGGGUAUUGUAGGGGUAGGGGUUAAACCCUUUUUCCGUAUGAGACACGUAAAAAGCGUUUGCGGAAAAAAGUAACAUUCCUGUAAUCCUUACAAGACCACCUGUGGCGAAGGCGCCAGACUGGAACGGAUCCGACAGUGAGGGAUGAAAGCUAGGGGAGCAAAGGGGAUUAGAUACCCCCGUAGUCCUAGCCGUAAACGAUGCCCGUUAGACAUUGGAGCUCUUACGUGGGGCUUCAGAGUCGUAGGGAAACCGUUAAACGGGCCGCCUGGGGAGUACGUUCGCAAGGAUGAAACUUAAGGGAAUUGGCGGGGGAGCACACAAGAGGUGGAGGCUGCGGUUUAAUUCGAUUCAACGCGAGGAACCUCACCAGCAGCGACAGCAGAAUGAAAGUCACGCUAAAGGUCUUACCAGACAAGCUGAGAAGUGGUGCAUGGCCAAGGCGAAUUCAGC
rnacentral:rRNA from 1 species